UGGGGAAUCGUUCAACGGUAGGACAGCGGACUCUGACUCCGUCAAUCAAGGUUCGAAUCCUUGUUCCCCAGCCA
rnacentral:tRNA from 1 species